AACUUGAGAGGGAGAAUUCAGGGCCUUGAAUGAGUAGACAAUCUGAUUUUCCAAUUUUCCGAAGCGCAUUUUCUGAGAUGGUUGUGCAUGCUGUAUUAUUGUUGAAACACAGUUACUCUUCGCCUUUAGACGUUGGAAUGUAUAAGUAGUCAAUGAACGGGGAGAACUGGGCUAUUAAUGUGAAAUCAGCCAAGCUUAAUGCUAAUUUUCACAUAGAGUUUUCAGAAUUUCUGUAUGCGAAAAAAUGUGAUUUAGUAAAAGCAUGUCGAUUGUGGAAAGCACUUGUUGGCGAGAGACCUGUCGAGACAUAUAUAUUUGUCAUUUCUGAUACCUAUUCGACGGAGUGAAGUGGUAGAGAGAACUCACGGUGAUAAUUGAUAUGUUUGUUCUGUGCGGCACAACACAUUUUGUCAUUAUAUAUAUAUAUAUAUAUAAACAAAUAUCAUGACAAAAUACGUAUUUUCUUGGUAAGGUUGUGGUUGCUCACUCAUCCGACCAAUUUCGUGACUUCUAGAGUUUCAUUAGAAAGAAGCCUGGCGAAGAAACCAAGCAUGACAGAAGACUUAUUUACAGUUCGAUACUCACACUAAGUAAUAUACUUUUCUGUACAACAUCCCAGCAAUAUUUACUUCCUUCCUUCGAUGUGGUAUCUACGUCGAUCAAUGCAAGCGUCACGCACACCGUAUUCAAGAGCGCAAAACCUGGCUCAUGAGCUGACAAGUCCUGUGAAGGUAUUCGAGACAAGUAGAGAAUUCAUAAAAGAUACUGAGGCAGACCUCUUAUAAGGUUUAAAUACUCUUUGUACACUACAGUACCCUAUGUAUGUGCUACUUAUAUAUGUAUAUAUAUAUACAUAGUACUGUAUACGAAAUGGAUACCUAGUGACCUAAAUACAAGGAGCAAUGAGUAUACAUUUUGUCCAGAGAUCUAAACAUCAAUUAUAGUAGAUGCUGUUAUUUAUUAGAGUGGAAGGAAUGAUAUUGAUGUAGAAUAGACAUCAAGUAAGAAGUAUUCUAGGUCCAAGUUAUUUGUCAUUUUAUUCCAAGUCUAAUAAUGAGACUAUGUUGAGUUGUUUUAGAAAAUUAAUAAACAUUUUCAUUUCUAAAGGUUUAGUAAAGAUAGCUGCUAGUUUUCUAUUAUAGGAACAUAUUUAAGGUUGGUAUUGCCUUCUUCAAUCUAUUCUUCUAUUUAGUAAAAGUGAGUAUGAAUAUGUAUUGUUUAUAAGUGAAAUGCAUCAUUAUUGAUCAUC
rnacentral:lncRNA from 1 species